rfam:Caenorhabditis japonica strain DF5081 Contig8559.1, whole genome shotgun sequence.
AUACCCGCUGAACUUAAGCAUAUCAUUUAGCGGAGGAAAAGAAACUAAAAAGGAUUCCCCUAGUAACGGCGAGUGAAACGGGAAGAGCCCAGCGCCGAAUCGAUCAGUCUUUGGCUGCUUGGAAAUGUGGCGUAUAGGUGUAGUCUUCCAGCAGUGUCGUAUGUCCGAAGUCCUUGCGAUUGAGGCCAUAAACCAGAGAGGGUGCGAGCCCCGUUCUGGAUAGCGGCGCUGUUGGUUCGACUGCUCCUUGGAGUCGGGUUGCUUGAAAGUGCAGCCUAAAGUGGGUGAUAAACUUCAUCUAAGGCUAAAUAUUGACUCGAUUGCGAUAGCGAACAAGUACCGUGAGGGAAAGUUGCAAAGGACUUUGAAGAGAGAGUUCAAGAGAACGUGAAAUCGCUGGAGUGGAACCGGAGACAGUUGAUGUUGCUUGGAGACAAUCUUGGUGGCUGAUCGCUUAGCUGUGAUCGCCGCCGGGAGUCGUUUCCUAUGCUACGCCGACGGCGUUGGCCGCUCGUUCUGGCCCGACAGUGUUGCCCAUCUCGCAAGAGACGGUGUCUUGUUGUCGGUCGUUGGUUCGUGGUGGCUAGCGUUUAGUUACGCUAGUGUGUGUGACGUCGGUGUGAAAGUCGACGACGUUUCCGACCCGUCUUGAAACACGGAUUACGGAGUGUUUGUCUGCUGCGAGUCAAAGGGUGUAAAAACCUUGCGGCGCAAUGAAAGUGAAGGUUAGUCUCGAACUGACCGACGUGGGAUCCGUGCUCUUCGGAGUGCGGUCGCACCACGGCCCUAUGCGUGUCACUUGUGACUGUGUAGAGGUUGAGCAGUAGGCAAGCGACCCGAAAGAUGGUGAACUAUGCCUGAGCAGGAUGAAGCCAGAGGAAACUCUGGUGGAAGUCCGUAUCGGUUCUGACGUGCAAAUCGAUCGAUAGACUUGGGUAUAGGGGCGAAAGACUAAUCGAACCAUCUAGUCGCUGGUUCCUUCCGAAGUUUCCCUCAGGAUAGCUGGAACUCUUGCAGUUAUAUUCGGUAAAGCUAAUGAUUAGAGGCCUUGGGGACGUAAUGUCCUCAACCUAUUCUCAAACUUUCAAUGGAUAUGGCGUCGCAGUUUCUUUAGUGAACUGCGGCGUGAAUGCGAGUUCCAAGUGGGCCAUUUUUGGUAAGCAGAACUGGCGCUGUGGGAUGAACCAAACGUGGAGUUAAGGUGCCUAACUUCUCGCUUAUGAGACCCCAUAAAAGGUGUUGGUUGAUAUUGACAGCAGGACGGUGGCCAUGGAAGUCGGUACCCGCUAAGGAGUGUGUAACAACUCACCUGCCGAAUCAACUAGCCCUGAAAAUGGAUGGCGCUUAAGCGAGAGACCUAUACUCCGCCGUCGCGGCAUGUGCGUUGUCUAGCGCCAGGUCGCGACGAGUAGGAAGGACGUGGCCGGUUGCGUUGAAAGGCUAUGAGCGUAAGCUCGGCUGGAGCUUCCGGUCAGUGCAGAUCGUAAUGGUAGUAGCAAAUAUUCAAGUUCGAUCCUUGAAGACUGAAGUGGAGAAGGGUUCCACGUGAACAGUAGUUGGAUGUGGGUCAGUCGAUCCUAAGGUACUGGCGAAAGCCUUGUAUCAUCGGUGGCGAAAAGCUUGCUUUUUGUCCCCGCCCGUCGAAAGGGAAUAGGGUUAAUAUUCCCUAACUGAGAUGC